UAGCAAGAUGAUACACAAACGCCUUGGAGAU
rnacentral:piRNA from 1 species